rnacentral:rRNA from 1 species
GAUGAACGCUGGCGGCGUGCCUAAUACAUGCAAGUCGAGCGAACGGACGAGAAGCUUGCUGCUCGGAUGUUAGCAGCGGGCGGGUGAGUAACACGUGGAUAACCUACCUAUAAGACUGGGAUAACUUCGGGAGAGCGGAGCUAAUACCGGAUAAUAUUUUGAACCGCAUGGUUCAAAAGUGAAAGACGGUCUUGCUGUCACUUAUAGAUGGAUCCGCGCUGCAUUAGCUAGUUGGUAAGGUAACGGCUUACCAAGGCAACGAUGCAUAGCCGACCUGAGAGGGUGAUCGGCCACACUGGAACUGAGACACGGUCCAGACUCCUACGGGAGGCAGCAGUAGGGAAUCUUCCGCAAUGGGCGAAAGCCUGACGGAGCAACGCCGCGUGAGUGAUGAAGGUCUUCGGAUCGUAAAACUCUGUUAUUAGGGAAGAACAUAUGUGUAAGUAACUGUGCACAUCUUGACGGUACCUAAUCAGAAAGCCACGGCUAACUACGUG